GAUGAACGCUAGCGAUAGGCUUAACACAUGCAAGUCGAGGGGCAGCAUGGUCUUAGCUUGCUAAGACUGAUGGCGACCGGCGCACGGGUGCGUAACGCGUAUGCAACUUGCCUCACAGAGGGGGAUAACCCGUCGAAAGACGGACUAAUACCGCGUACACUCCAUCUUGGGCAUCCAAGGUAGAGGAAAUGAAAUUCGCUGUGAGAUAGGCAUGCGUCCCAUUAGCUAGUUGGUGAGGUAACGGCUCACCAAGGCGACGAUGGGUAGGGGAACUGAGAGGUUGAACCCCCACACUGGUACUGAGACACGGACCAGACUCCUACGGGAGGCAGCAGUGAGGAAUAUUGGUCAAUGGGCGAGAGCCUGAACCAGCCAAGUCGCGUGAAGGAUGACUGUCUUAUGGAUUGUAAACUUCUUUUAUACGGGAAUAACAAGAGCCACGUGUGGCUCCCUGCAUGUACCGUAUGAAUAAGC
rnacentral:rRNA from 1 species